rnacentral:rRNA from 1 species
CGGCAGCACAGUAAGAGCUUGCUCUUAUGGGUGGCGAGUGGCGGACGGGUGAGGAAUACAUCGGAAUCUACCUUUUCGUGGGGGAUAACGUAGGGAAACUUACGCUAAUACCGCAUACGACCUUCGGGUGAAAGCAGGGGACCUUCGGGCCUUGCGCGGAUAGAUGAGCCGAUGUCGGAUUAGCUAGUUGGCGGGGUAAAGGCCCACCAAGGCGACGAUCCGUAGCUGGUCUGAGAGGAUGAUCAGCCACACUGGAACUGAGACACGGUCCAGACUCCUACGGGAGGCAGCAGUGGGGAAUAUUGGACAAUGGGCGCAAGCCUGAUCCAGCCAUACCGCGUGGGUGAAGAAGGCCUUCGGGUUGUAAAGCCCUUUUGUUGGGAAAGAAAAGCAGUCGGCUAAUACCCGGUUGUUCUGACGGUACCCAAAGAAUAAGCACCGGCUAACUUCGUGCC